UGCAAGUCGAGCGGUAGAGAGAAGCUUGCUUCUCUUGAGAGCGGCGGACGGGUGAGUAAUGCCUAGGAAUCUGCCUGGUAGUGGGGGAUAACGUUCGGAAACGGACGCUAAUACCGCAUACGUCCUACGGGAGAAAGCAGGGGACCUUCGGGCCUUGCGCUAUCAGAUGAGCCUAGGUCGGAUUAGCUAGUUGGUGGGGUAAUGGCUCACCAAGGCGACGAUCCGUAACUGGUCUGAGAGGAUGAUCAGUCACACUGGAACUGAGACACGGUCCAGACUCCUACGGGAGGCAGCAGUGGGGAAUAUUGGACAAUGGGCGAAAGCCUGAUCCAGCCAUGCCGCGUGUGUGAAGAAGGUCUUCGGAUUGUAAAGCACUUUAAGUUGGGAGGAAGGGUUGUAGAUUAAUACUCUGCAAUUUUGACGUUACCGACAGAAUAAGCACCGGCUAACUCUGUGCCAGCAGCCGCGGUAAUACAGAGGGUGCAAGCGUUAAUCGGAAUUACUGGGCGUAAAGCGCGCGUAGGUGGUUUGUUAAGUUGGAUGUGAAAUCCCCGGGCUCAACCUGGGAACUGCAUUCAAAACUGACUGACUAGAGUAUGGUAGAGGGUGGUGGAAUUUCCUGUGUAGCGGUGAAAUGCGUAGAUAUAGGAAGGAACACCAGUGGCGAAGGCGACCACCUGGACUGAUACUGACACUGAGGUGCGAAAGCGUGGGGAGCAAACAGGAUUAGAUACCCUGGUAGU
rnacentral:rRNA from 1 species